UACAGAGGUCCCAAGCGUUGUUCGGAUUCAUUGGGCGUAAAGGGUGCGUAGGCGGCGCGGUAAGUCGGGUGUGGAAUCUCGGAGCUUAACUCCGAAACUGCAUUCGAUACUGCCGUGCUUGAGGACUGGAGAGGAGACUGGAAUUUACGGUGUAGCGGUGAAAUGCGUAGAUAUCGUAAGGAAGACCAGUGGCGAAGGCGGGUCUCUGGACAGUUCCUGACGCUGAGGCACGAAGGUCAGGGGAGCAAACGGG
rnacentral:rRNA from 1 species